UACGGAGGGUGCAAGCGUUAUCCGGAUUCACUGGGUUUAAAGGGUGCGUAGGUGGGUUGGUAAGUCAGUGGUGAAAUCCCCGAGCUUAACUUGGGAACUGCCAUUGAUACUAUCAGUCUUGAAUACCGUGGAGGUCGGCGGAAUAUGUCAUGUAGCGGUGAAAUGCUUAGAUAUGACAUAGAACACCUAUUGCGAAGGCAGCUAACUACGCGAAUAUUGACGCUGAGGCACGAAAGCGUGGGGAUCAAACAGG
rnacentral:rRNA from 1 species